rnacentral:tRNA from 1 species
GGGCCUGUAACUCAGAAGAUUAGAGUCAGUGGCUACGAAUCACGGUGUCAGGGGUUCAAAUCCCUUCUCGCUCA